AACUGAUUGACAGAAUGGAACAAACCCUGAAGACGAAGCCGAAGUUCAUCCUAAAGAAACUGCGCUUGGAUUGUGGACCAUGAUGAAAUACAGAACAACCAGAAACAUGACACUAGUUUAUCAUGUUCGCAUGGCUCAUUACCAGUUUGACAUAUUUCGGACUCUACUUGACCUCCAGUAGUUUGUCUGGUGACCGUCAUUUGAAUUUCUUCCUCACUGCAGCCAUGGAACUUCCCUCCAGUUUCCUCGUCUACAAAUUAUUCUCGCUAUUUGGACGGAAGAAAGCCAUCAUAAUUCUUAUUGGUGCCUCAGGUGUGACAUUGUUAACCGUGGCAGUUUCUGAAGUCAGUCGGUGACAGUGACGCCAUCAAUACUUCUACAGUAGUUUUUGUCUUUGCUUGGAAUGAUCGGUAUCAGUGGUGCCUUUGGUGGUGUAUGGUUAUAUACUCCUGAAGUCUAUCCGACUACAUUAAGGAAUGCUGGAAUGGGUAUAGCCUCAGCUACAGCACGUAUCGGUGGCGUGUUCUCUCCUUACACAAGAAUGCUGGCUGCGCGUGUUGUUUGGGGCCCAGCACUUGUAUUUGGUGCUGGUUGUUUCAUUGCAUCGAGCUUGUUAUUGACUCUUCCUGAAACGCAUAAUAAACAACUACCACAGCAUUUGGAUGAAAUACUGAGCUCCAAACGGGAGCGCGGUAAAGGAGAAGGUGCAAAGAAGAGGAAAAAUAUAAAUUCCAAAAGUAAAGAAGAAAUUUAAUAAAACAAUAUUUUAUUUUA